UGGUCUCUACCAUUGACAAGCCAAAACUACCCUGCACUAACUAUCUCCUACUCUCAAGAAUGUUUUACCCAAUCCCAGGCAGAGCUGCCAUUGGGGAUCUUUUUUUGGAGUUCUCUAACAUCCUGAAUUACGGAAUCAAUCUCCCAUAGAGUGCUAUCUUGCUUGAUUGCGUCAAUAAUCGAGCCUUUACCUAUUGUACCAUUGUUGUCCCAGAUGACCGUUGUUGUGGCUCUAGUGUUGAUGCCGAGGAAUAUGCUGAAUCUACAUUAAUUUUAAGCCAAUUACUCGGGGGUGGUCUCCAAACUACAAGUAUCUGAUUCUGAAUUUACUUGUUGGUUGCUGUCUGUGCUGUGAAUUCCUCUGUUUGUUUAAAUUUUCCUUUAAUAAAUCUUGCAUAGAGUAGUGUCUAUUUUGAGUUUAUUUUUGCUUCUCUAAAUAUAGUCUCAUUCCUACCUUUCCAAAUUGCCCACAUUAUAAAUCCCAGCCUUUUCCAA